UGGGGAAUUUUGGACAAUGGGCGCAAGCCUGAUCCAGCAAUGCCGCGUGCAGGAUGAAGGUCUUCGGGUUGUAAACUGCUUUUGUACGGAGCGAAAAGGUCUGCCCUAAUACGGUGGGCUCAUGACGGUACCGUAAGAAUAAGCACCGGCUAACUACGUGCCAGCAGCCGCGGUAAUACGUAGGGUGCGAGCGUUAAUCGGAAUUACUGGGCGUAAAGCGUGCGCAGGCGGUUAUAUAAGACAGGUGUGAAAUCCCCGGGCUCAACCUGGGACCUGCAUUUGUGACUGUAUAGCUAGAGUACGGUAGAGGGGGAUGGAAUUCCGCGUGUAGCAGUGAAAUGCGUAGAUAUGCGGAGGAACACCGAUGGCGAAGGCAAUCCCCUGGACCUGUACUGACGCUCAUGCACGAAAGCGUGGGGAGCAAACA
rnacentral:rRNA from 1 species